AGCAGCCGCGGUAAUUCCAGCUCCAAUAGCGUAUAUUAAAGUUGUUGCAGUUAAAAGCUCGUAGUUGAACUUCGGGGUUUACCCAUUGGUCAGGCUUAAUUGUCUGUACUGGUGAGAUGAAUCUCUACCUUCUGAGGAACUUUCAUGCCAUUUAUUUGGUGUGGUUGGAAAUCAGGACUGUUACUUUGAAAAAUUGAGUGUUUAAAGCAGACUAUCGUCUGAAUACAUUAGCAUGGAAUAAUGAAAUAGGACGGACUGAUUCUAUUUCGUUGGUUUCUAGGAUCACCGUAAUGAUUAAUAGGGAUAGUUGGGGGCAUUAGUAUUCAAUUGUCAGAGGUGAAAUUCUUGGAUUUAUUGAAGACUAACUACUGCGAAAGCAUUUGCCAAGGAUGUUUUCA
rnacentral:misc_RNA from 1 species